rnacentral:rRNA from 1 species
UACGUAGGGGGCAAGCGUUGUCCGGAAUCAUUGGGCGUAAAGAGCGUGUAGGCGGCUCGGUAAGUCCGCUGUGAAAGUCCAGGGCUCAACCCUGGAAUGCCAGUGGAAACUGUCGAGCUAGAGUCCGGAAGAGGCGAGUGGAAUUCCUGGUGUAGCGGUGAAAUGCGCAGAUAUCAGGAGGAACACCAAUGGCGAAGGCAGCUCGCUGGGACGGUACUGACGCUGAGGAGCGAAAGCGUGGGGAGCGAACAGG